CUCAGUAAAUCCAGAGAGCAUUCUUCCUUUGCAUUUUGAGGUUCUUUGGAGGUUGGGUCGACUCUUGCUUACCUUGGGUCGACCCAACUAACUGUUCAUUUGUGCUGUUUUUGCAGGAGUGUGCCAGAUGAUUCCUCGAUGUGCCGGGGUCGACCCAAUCAACCUAUGGGUUGACUCAAUCCACACUUUGCUGCAUUCUCAAGGUUAGUUUCAUCCAAAUGAACAAGACCAUAUAUAUAUUUCCAAUUAAGCAAAUGUACUGAGAGCAAUGAACUUAUAAAUGAAAUAUCAAUUUUAACUUAUAGCAUACUCUAGAGAAUUGCUUGUUAAUCAUCAAAUAACACUAUCAUCCUCA
rnacentral:lncRNA from 1 species